CUGCUUCCUGACUCUUGGAAACAAAGCCUGUACCGUGGGCCCUGUCGCUUCAACAAAUUUGGUGCCAAACAUGCUAUGCCAUGGGGCAGUUUGACAAUCUAAGAAGAUUAAUUGAGCAUAUACAUUUGAGAUCUUCCAAGCUGUCUGCAAAGAUGACACACUACACAAGACAAAAUUCAGACUGAUGAUGUAGCAGACAGCAAAAACAACUCUCUCUCUGAGCAAAUAGGCUUGUAUAAAGAUGUCUAGUUGGAAUCCACAGCGGGUGUAAAAUGAAGAGGAUUAUUCUCUGCAGCAGCACAGCCAUAUUACUGUCAUAACUUACACACUAGGUGUUUCUCUCAGGUCUUAACUCUUAACUGUACCUCUUUAAAGCCCAAUAUACAGACAUUCAAAAAGAAAAUAUGUGCAUUUGUUUGGCAAGGGCCUACUGUCUUCUAUAUAAAAUAAAUAAAUAACUUCCAGGAGAGGAAAAAGCCUUGGAGAAAGCAAG